GAUGAACGCUGGCGGCGUGCCUAAUACAUGCAAGUCGAGCGAACAGAUGAGGAGCUUGCUCCUCUGACGUUAGCGGCGGACGGGUGAGUACACGUGGAUAAACUACCUAUAAGACCGGGAUAACUUCGGGAAACCGGAGCUAAUACCGGAUAAUAUAUUGAACCGCAUGGUUCAAUAGUGAAAGACGGUUUUGCUGUCACUUAUAGAUGGAUCCGCGCCGCAUUAGCUAGUUGGUAAGGUAACGGCUUACCAAGGCAACGACGCGUAGCCGACCUGAGAGGGUGAUCGGCCACACUGGAACUGAGACACGGUCCAGACUCCUACGGGAGGCAGCAGUAGGGAAUCUUCCGCAAUGGGCGAAAGCCUGACGGAGCAACGCCGCGUGAGUGAUGAAGGUCUUCGGAUCGUAAAACUCUGUUAUUAGGGAAGAACAAAUGUGUAAGUAACUAUGCACGUCUUGACGGUACCUAAUCAGAAAGCCACGGCUAACUACGUG
rnacentral:rRNA from 1 species